rnacentral:lncRNA from 1 species
CUUGUGGUAGAAGCAAGUGCGCUUCUUUCCUCCCGUCUUGAAGCGGCGAAGGAAGGGGCGGGCCUGGUCCUUGCAUCUCAGGGGCUGAGGCUUAGCGGCCUCCCCUUUCCUCCCUUUGGUGGCGCGCGCACCCGGGCGCACCACACACACACGCACAUACAGAGGAGCCACGCGCGUGGCAGCGCCUCGGCCGCGAGGCUGUGCUGCCACUCCAGGGACGCCGCACACGGAGCGCACGCUGCUGCUGCUACUGCUGCUACUGCUGUUUCUGCUGUUUGUGCUGCGGCUGCUGCACGCUCGCCUUCCCGGCCCUGGAAUUAGCAUCCUCUCGUCCUUCUCCUCUUCCUCCUCCUCCGGCGUUUGGACUCAACCGGGAGUCAGUUUUUGCCUGUCUUCAAAUCCACUAUUUUCUGCACGCUACGGAAAUGGAAUACCACUGACAACUACAAGUCCUGUGUCAUUUGAUGGGCUCCAUGAGAUUGCAUCUUUGAAGCAUGUAGAAAUGGAAGACAACCUCCAUCUGAUGAGGUCUUAAGUAUUGUAAGCACUAGGCAUUGCACGCAAAUUAGUCUUUAGUGGUAGAGCCAGUUAGAAAUAAAUAAUUUGCAUAACACAAAUAGAGAAUGUCUUCCUAUGUAUUCAGAACAAACUAGACAUGAUGUGCAACAUCUGAUCAGAUCUUCUGAGUGUUUCACUUUAAAGAAUCUGCAGCUGUCCUCAUAUCUUAAUCCUGGGGGAUUUUGUUUUAAAAAUACUGAUAUUGCUUUUUGAUCAAAAUAUUACUUUUCCAGGUUGAUGGAAACUUAUACAGUAGAGUCUCACUUAUCCAACAUAAACGGGCCAGCAGAAUGUUGGAUAAGUGAAUAUGUUGGAUAAUAAGGAGAGAUUAAGAAAAAGCCUAUUAAACAUCAAAAUAGGUUAUGAUUUUACAAAUUAAGCACCAAAACAUCAUGUUAUACAACAAAUUUGAUAGAAAAAGUAGUUCAUUACACAUUAAUGCUAUGUAGUAAUUACUGUAUUUACGAAUUUAGCACCAAAAUAUCAUGAUAUAUUGAAAACAUUGACUACAAAAAUGCAUUGGAUAAUCCAGAACGUUGGAUAAGUGAGACUCUACCGUAUGUCAAAACCAAUACUUUUAAUUGUGCCCAGUAAUGAAUUGAAAGCUAUGGGUAUGAAUUAUGCUUGUAAAAUGCUUAUAACGCCUGGCAUUAGUUAAAAUCCUCAAUUUUGUGCUCAUUCCCCCUCCAUUAUGGCAUAGUGUCAUCAGCCAUCUUUUCAAAUAACUGCAGUUUGUACUUCUGAACCUGGAUGAACUAUGGGUUUUAUGUGUUUUCGAAGGGUUUCAUGGCCAGGAUCUCAGAGUUGUUGUGUGUUUUCUGGGCUGUAUGGCCAUGUUCCAGAAGUAUUCUCUUCUGACGUUUCGCCCACAUCUAUGGCAGGCAUCCUCAGAGGUAAGCCUGGAUGGUGGGGGGUGUAGGACAGGUCCAAGGAGAAAAGCGAGCCUCAAAAGUUCCUCAUUGCCACCAAUGGGCCGGAUCUUCCCAGAUCUUUUGGUUGCCAGAUUGAACUGAUUUUCCCCAACCAAAUCCAGAAGGCUCCCAAAAAAUGGAUCUGGGGGUCCACCAAAAUCCGAAUACCAAAAACAGAACAGGGUUUAACCAAGUUGCACACCCCUAGUAGAUGCCCCCUUCUGACAUCAGCAUAUAGAUUGCACUCACACAGGGCUUUAUGGCCCAUGGGGAGCAAAAAAAUGGAAGAUGAGGUGAUAUCCAAGUGAGACCAAUGCUAUCCCAGCCUGCCUGGACACCAGCCUCAGAUUGAGCAUGUAUGUGCUGGAUCCAAAACAUCUUGAGGGCAGAUUAAUAGUGAAAUAACCUGCCCGAUGUAGACUUCGCCUUAAUUUCAACCAUGAUUGUUAUGUGGUAAAUUUAAUGAAAUGAUUCAGGUAUUCAUCCCCAUCACAUUUUUAUCACUUAUUCUAGAUAUACCUUAUCUUUCUUCUCCUUUUUUUUCUCCACCUUCUUCUUCUUUUCUUUCCCUUUUUUUGAAAAGACAGACCAAUUAUUAAACAAUUGGAAGGAAUUCUGAUACAUUUCUGCAUUACUGUUACACAAUGAAGCUGCAGAGUGACUGAUGGUAUAAAAUAAGAAAUAAUACUGAAGUUUAAAAUGAUGCCUAACACUUCUGUAAUUAUUGCUCUGGCAGCUUUCCUAAUAGUUUGUUUCUGAAGAGCCAUUCCAGUUACCCAGAGUGCUAGAUCUAUUCAAUGUUUCAAAUUAGUUUUCACAUAACAAUUGUUGAAGUUGGUCUCUUAUAAUUUAGGUCAAGGAAGAAAAUGCAUGCAUGCUGAAGUAACAGCUUGCAGGGCCUCAAGGUAAGCAGCUCUCUAAGGCAAAAAUAUUGGAGACAUGCUAUGACGCUUUGUUUGUGUCUUGGGGCCAGGAAAUAGAGUGGGUGAUCAGCUGCCUUUUAAACCCUGUAAAGAAGUUUCAGUGUUUCACAUUUCAAAUGUGGAUAAAUGGAGGCUAUGAGUAAGGACCAUGGUUUACCAAUGAAUUAUUGCCACUGAUUAUCAGGGGUCCUAGCAAGGGAGGAGAUAAGAGACAAGCAAUUCUACUUGACACAGCAAGAAUAGCUUUCAGUGUUAAAAGAAGCUUGGUUUAGGAAAGAAUUAGGAAGAAUAGGUUUAAUACAAAUGCCAGCCAGGAAUUAAUCUAUGCAACCUGCAUGUUUCAGAAAGGAUCAGCACAAAAGGGAAUAAUGAAGAUGACCAGGAAAACAUAUAAUCCCAUUCAUAGGGAGGCCAAAGGGGAACCAAAGGCUUUCACAGUGUGAUUCAAUAUAGCAAUAAUAAUAAUAAUAAUAAUAAUAAUAAUAAUAAUAAUAAUAAUAAUAAUAAAUCCAGCAUAUCUAUCUUGUUUGCUGUGUCAUAAUAAAAUAAUAAUAAUAAUAUCAUCAUCAUCUUUAUGUAUAUUCUGCCCUAUCUCCCUGGAGGGACUCAGGGUGGAUUCCAAACAUAAAAGGAAAGCAUUCAAUGCCCAAACACAACAACAAUACAGCCGUUAUAAUGAGAAUAGACAACCCAAUAUAUAAAACAAAUUAUCUUAACAACUAAAAUUAAAUUAAAAAUGCAACCUGUUAUAUCAAACAUAAAACACAACAUCAAACAUCGAAUAGAAGCCUUCCUUGAGGGCAAAUAGAUUGAUAAUUGCUCAAGAUGUCUAUUGAGCUGAUGGGGCAAACAGGGCAUGAAUAUGGAUGGUAUCUAUUAAUCAGAGGUAUAAUGGUAGUAUUACCAUCUAUUCUUCCUUAAUUCUCAUAGCUUCAAUUCCCUUUAAAGAAAGCCUAUGUUCGCUCUUCCCACCAAUUUGGUUUGGAUUUGCUCUUGUUCUUGAAAGAAUUGGAUCUGCAAAAAUCAUAGAUAGACCCUUCUGAUACCACACUCUCCAACUAUCCAAAUUUGGAAGGGACACUUUUGAUCUAUCCUCUGUCAACCGUGUUUUCCAAUUGUUUUUAAAGUGCCUCAGUUUUGCUCUCUGUUCUCCACUUUGUCCUCAGUUUCCUUCCAUUUAUGCUAGUGUUUCUCAAUUUGUGGGUCCCCAGAUGUUUGGCCUUCAACUCACAGAAAUCCUAACAGCUGGUAAACUGGUUGGGAUUUCUGGGAGUUGUAGGCCAAAACACCUAGGAACCCACAGGUUGAGAAUCACUGAUUUCUGCAAACUGUGUUCAAAGUGCAAAAGUAAUUUUUACUCAAUAUCUCAGCAGUGAGGAAAGGAGAGCCAAGAGCAGAAUCGUCCUUGUAGACUCAGGCAAAAGGGAAUGGCUGUAGCCUCUCAUUUCUGUUCUUUCUCACUAAUAUUCUAUGAGAAGUAAGUUUAUACAAAGGAUGUUCUCAGUAGUGGAUUUUCCACGAGUUGCAGAUACUACAGAAGGCCUUGCAUUGGGAAUAAGCUUUAACAAGGGUUUUCAACACAACAGCACUUCUUCUGUGUUGUCGAAGGCUUUUAUGGCCGGGAUCACAGGGUUGUUAUAUGUAUUCCGGGCUGUAUGGCCAUGUUCUAAAAGUGUUCUCUCCUGACAUUUCGCCCACAUCUAUGGCAGGCAUCCUCUGAGGACAUGGCCAUACAG